UACGAAGGGGGCUAGCGUUGCUCGGAAUCACUGGGCGUAAAGGGUGCGUAGGCGGGUCUUUUAAGUCAGGGGUGAAAUCCUGGAGCUCAACUCCAGAACUGCCCUUGAUACUGAGGAUCUUGAGUUCGGGAGAGGUGAGUGGAACUGCGAGUGUAGAGGUGAAAUUCGUAGAUAUUCGCAAGAACACCAGUGGCGAAGGCGGCUCACUGGCCCGAUACUGACGCUGAGGCACGAAAGCGUGGGGAGCAAACAGGG
rnacentral:rRNA from 1 species